UAAUUUCCAUAGACUACAGACACUGGAAUGUUCUUUAGUCGAAAGUUCUGGCGCCUUACGAUGGAUCUGCGGUCGAUUAAGUUGUUGUUGGGGUAACGGUCCAACAAGCCUGUAAUCGAUACGGGUUGUGGGAGCAAGAGCCCGGAGAUGGAAUCUGAGACACAAUUCCAGGCCCUACGGGGCGCAGCAGGCGCGAAAACUUUACAACGCAGGAAACUGUGAUAAGGGAACUCCGAGUGCCCGUAUACGCGGGCUGUCCAUGUGUUUAAAAAUCAUCUGAACAAAGGGCCGGGCAAGACCGGUGCCAGCCGCCGCGGUAAUACCGGCGGCUCGAGUGGUGGCCACUAUUAUUGGGCUUAAAGCGUCCGUCGCUGGACCGAUAAGUCUCUUGGGAAAUCCGCCGGCUCAACCGGCGGGCGUCUAAGGGAUACUGUUAAUCUAGGGACCGGGAGAGGUGAGAGGUACUCCGGGGGUACGCGUGCAAUCCUGUACUGCUCGGGGGAUCAACGAUGGCGACUGCAUCUCACAACAACGGCUCCGAGAGUGAGGGUAGAAAGCUGGGGGAGCGAACCGGAUUAAAUACCCGGGUAAUCCCAGCCGUAAGAUAUGCGCGUUAGGUGU
rnacentral:rRNA from 1 species